UACGUAGGCAGCAAGCGUUGUUCGGAAUUACUGGGCGUAAAGCGAGUGUAGGCGGUUCGAUAAGUUUGGUGUGAAAUCUCCCGGCUCAACUGGGAGGGUGCGCCGAAGACUGUCGAGCUAGAGUGUGGGAGAGGUAGGCGGAAUUCCUGGUGUAGCGGUGAAAUGCGCAGAUAUCAGGAGGAACACCGGUGGCGAAGGCGGUUCUCUGGGCAUGUCCUGACGCUGAGGAGCGAAAGUGUGGGGAGCGAACAGG
rnacentral:rRNA from 1 species